CUUCCUACGGGAGGCAGCAGUAGGGAAUCUUCCACAAUGGACGAAAGUCUGAUGGAGCAACGCCGCAUGAGUGAAGAAGGGUUUCGGCUCGUAAAGCUCUGUUGGUAGUGAAGAAAGAUAGAGGUAGUAACUGGCCUUUUUUUGACGGUAAUUGCUUAGAAAGUCACGGCUAACUACGUGCCAGCAGCCGCGGUAAUACGUAGGUGGCAAGCGUUGUCCGGAUUUAUUGGGCGUAAAGCGAGUGCAGGCGGUUUAAUAAGUUUUAUGUGAAAGCCUUCGUCUCAAC
rnacentral:rRNA from 1 species